GCAGCGGACGAAAGGGGACGGAUGGGCUGACGGGAGAGCGCCUCUGAGGGGCCGCGAGGGUGCGGCGUGCCCGGCUCCCGUCUUCUCCCUCUGGCACCUUGGCCUGGCGGCUCCUGCGGCUCGUUGCGCAGCUGUACGCCCGUGGCCCUGAGAGGAGCUGCCAAGCUUAACUUUCAACAGAGAGGAACAUGUUGCCAGUCUCUUUGCUUGGGAAAAGGCAUAAGCUUCCUGGUGUGCUCCUGAUCUACGUUUCAUUGAGAUUUGCACUGUGGGACCCUUCUUGACAUUCUGCAGAAAAGUGGCACUGUAAUCCAGAGCACAAGUUGAGGAUAUUCUGGGACAGCAAUUAUGGUCUUAAUCUGCCUGAACAAAUUUGCAAAAUUUCACCUGUUUUAUGGGAAAACAUUGCACACCUGAUGGGGAAUCAUUACAGAAAUGUUCCUGUUUCACCACCAGCGAAAGCAAACCAGCAGCAUUCCCUUCUCCAUACAGAUCUUUCACUGUAAAGGAAGCAAUUAAAAAUUUCACUCCUAACCACAACUUACUACAAUAAACAA